rnacentral:rRNA from 1 species
CCUACGGGCGGCAGCAGUGGGGGAUAUUGCACAAUGGGGGGAACCCUGAUGCAGCGACGCCGCGUGGGUGAAGAAGCACCUCGUCACGUAAAGCCCUAUCAGCAGGGAAGAAAAUGACGGUACCUGAAUAAGAAGCCCCGGCUAACUACGUGCCAGCAGCCGCGGUAAUACGUAGGGGGCAAGCGUUAUCCGGAUUUACUGGGUGUAAAGGGAGCGUAGACGGCGGUGCAAGCCAGGAGUGAAAGGCCGGGGCCCAACCCCGGGACUGCUCUUGAAACUGUGCGGCUGGAGUGCAGGAGGGGCAAGUGGAAUUCCUGGUGUAGCGGUGAAAUGCGUAGAUAUUAGGAGGAACACCAGUGGCGAAGGCGGCCUGCUGGACUGCAACUGACGUUGAGGCUCGAAAGCGUGGGGAGCAAACAGGAUUAGAUACCCCGGUAGUC